AGGUAAUGUCUAUACGACCUAUAUCAGAGUAGACACUCGGUCAUGCUGUGGGUAUCUGAUACCUUAGACGUACAUCGUCAAGAGUGUGAUGUGAGGUUGGGUUAGAUGCCCA
rfam:Paenibacillus sp. JCM 10914 DNA, contig: contig_12.